CCACAUUUUCCUGAUUUAUUUGACCUAAAUAGUGCUUUGUGAAAACUGUUCAAUUUUUGAUUGAAUUUAGCUUUUCAAAGAGCUUUAGGUCUAUCUAUCUAUAUCGAUCUCUCUAUCUUCUUUCAGAAAACCAAGAAAUGUUUUCCCAGGAGCAGAAGCAGAUGGAGACCCAAAAGAUCAGAUCAAAAAUGUAUUUUGGAAUAAUGUAGACAGCUGAAGAGGUUCAUCUCCAAGAGAGAAUAUAUAACCAUCAUGAGGUAGGAAAUUUUCAAAACCACUUCUUGAUGUUUUUCUUAAGUCUUUAUGGUUUGUGUUUAUUGAUCUCUGGUUCUCAUCUCACCCC
rnacentral:lncRNA from 1 species